rnacentral:RNase_P_RNA from 1 species
UUGGCAGGUCUCCUUAUCGCUCCGGCCCUCGGGUCGGGGAGGAAAGUCCGGACACCAUAGUGCGGCAUAGCGGGUAACACCCGUCGUCCCGAACUCGCUUCGGGAUAGGACCAGUGCAACAGAAAGCAAGUACAGUUCGGCUGUAGUGAAAUCAGGUAAACUCUAUGCGGUGAAACGUCAUGUAAAUCGGUGUUUAAGGGCGGCACGUCCGAACCGAAGGGUAGACGGUUCGAGCUUUUGGGCGACCAAAAGCCUAGAUAAAUGAUAAGGGUCGACCUCCUUGGGGUCGAAACAGAAUCCGGCUUAUGACCUGCUUUUAUU